GAGCGAGGUUACUGCGACAGAUCCCUUCGGGGUGAAGUUGCUUUAGCCUAGCGGCGGACGGGUGAGUAACGCGUGGGUAACCUACCCUAAAGUUCGGGAUAACAGCGGGAAACCGCUGCUAAUACCGGAUGCCUUUACCGUGUGGCAUCACAAGGUAAAGAAAGGUAACGCUUUAGGAUGGGCCCGCGUCCCAUUAGCUAGUUGGUGAGGUAACAGCUCACCAAGGCGACGAUGGGUAGCCGGCCUGAGAGGGUGGACGGCCACACUGGGACUGAGACACGGCCCAGACUCCUACGGGAGGCAGCAGUAGGGAAUAUUGCGCAAUGGACGGAAGUCUGACGCAGCGACGCCGCGUGAGCGAUGAAGGCCUUCGGGUCGUAAAGCUCUGUCCUU
rnacentral:rRNA from 1 species